UACGAAGGGGGGCUAGCGUUUGUUCGGAAUUACUGGGCGUAAAGGGCCCGUAGGCGGCCAACUAAGUCAGACGUGAAAUCCCUCGGCUUAACCGGGGAACUGCGUCUGAUACUGGAUGGCUUGAGUUUGGGAGAGGGAUGCGGAAUUCCAGGUGUAGCGGUGAAAUGCGUAGAUAUCGGGAGGAACACCAGUGGCGAAGGCGAACUUCCUGGCCUGUUCUUGACGCUGAGGCGCGAAAGCUAGGGUAGCAAACGGGG
rnacentral:rRNA from 1 species